rfam:Triticum aestivum genome assembly, contig: Triticum_aestivum_CS42_TGACv1_scaffold_487332_6AS
CGAGCACUCCCGCCGUUAUAAAAUCCUUGUCUUAGACUUGUUUAAAUACAGAUGUAUUUAAUUACGUUUUAGUAUUAGAUACAUUCAUAUCUAAACAAAUUUAAGACAUGAAUUUUGGGACCGAGGGAGUAGUCC